GAGAGCGUCUAGGCGAACAAUGUUCUUAAAGUUGGACCUCAAAUCAGGUAGGGAGUACCCCGCUGAACUUAAGCAUAAUCAAUAAGCGGAGGGAAAAGGAACCAAACCGGGAUUGCCUUAGUAACGGCGAGUGAAGCGGCAAAAGCUCAAAUUUGAAAUCUGGUACCUUCGGUGCCCGAGUUGUAAUUUGGAGAGGGCAACUUUGGGGCCGUUCCUUGUCUAUGUUCCUUGGAACAGGACCGUCAUAGAGGGUGAGAAUCCCGUGUGGCGAGGAGUGCGGUUCUUUGUAAAGUGCCUUCGAAGAGUCGAGUUGUUUGGGAAUGCAGCUCUAAGUGGGUGGUAAAUUCCAUCUAAAGCUAAAUAUUGGCGAGAGACCGAUAGCGAACAAGUACAGUGAUGGAAAGAUGAAAAGAACUUUGAAAAGAGAGUGAAAAAGUACGUGAAAUUGUUGAAAGGGAAGGGCAUUUGAUCAGACAUGGUGUUUUGUGCCCUCUGCUCCUUGUGGGUAGGGGAAUCUCGCAUUUCACUGGGCCAGCAUCAGUUUUGGUGGCAGGAUAAAUCCAUAGGAAUGUAGCUUGCCUCGGUAAGUAUUAUAGCCUGUGGGAAUACUGCCAGCUGGGACUGAGGACUGCGACGUAAGUCAAGGAUGCUGGCAUAAUGGUAUAUCCCA
rnacentral:rRNA from 1 species